CGAGAGUCGGACGGACCGGCGACGACGGUAGAAGUAACGACGUAUCCAACCUGGCUGUAAGAGGGGAAUAACCCGGAGAAAUCCGGACUAAUACCGCAUAAUACUUAGAAUCCGCAUGGAUUUUAAGUUAACAUUUAUGGCUUACAGAUGGGCAUGCGUAUGAUUAGCUGGUUGGAGAGGUAACGGCUCCCCAAGGCAACGAUCAUUAGGGGUUCUGAGAGGAAGGUCCCCCACACUGGUACUGAGACACGGACCAGACUCCUACGGGAGGCAGCAGUGAGGAAUAUUGGUCAAUGGACGCAAGUCUGAACCAGCCAAAGUCGCGUGAAGGAAGAAUGUCCUAUGGAUUGUAAACUUCUUUUGAAGGGGAAUAAAGUACGGUACGUGUACCGUUUUGUAUGUACCCUUCGAAUAAGGAUCGGCUAACUCCGUGCCAGCCGCUGC
rnacentral:rRNA from 1 species